UUGUCUCAAAGAUUAAGCCAUGCAUGUCUCAGUACAAGCCACAUUAAGGUGAAACCGCGAAAGGCUCAUUAAAUCAGUUAUGGUUCCUUAGAUCGUACCCACGUUACUUGGAUAACUGUGGUAAUUCUAGAGCUAAUACAUGCAAAUAGAGCUCCGACCGGAGACGGAAGGAGUGCUUUUAUUAGAUCAAAACCAAUCGGCGGCGGGCGCGUUCGCGCGUCCGUUCGCCGCUCUACCUGGUGACUCUGAAUAACUUUCCGCUGAUCGCACGGUCUCGCACCGGCGACGUAUCUUUCAAAUGUCUGCCUUAUCAACUGUCGAUGGUAGGUUCUGCGCCUACCAUGGUCGUAACGGGUAACGGGGAAUCAGGGUUCGAUUCCGGAGAGGGAGCCUGAGAAACGGCUACCACAUCCAAGGAAGGCAGCAGGCGCGCAAAUUACCCACUCCCGGCACGGGGAGGUAGUGACGAAAAAUAACGAUACGGGACUCAUCCGAGGCCCCGUAAUCGGAAUGAGUACACUUUAAAUCCUUUAACGAGGACCAAUUGGAGGGCAAGUCUGGUGCCAGCAGCCGCGGUAAUUCCAGCUCCAAUAGCGUA
rnacentral:rRNA from 1 species